UACGUAGGGGGCGAGCGUUGUCCGGAGUUACUGGGCGUAAAGCGCACGCAGGCGGUCUGCUAAGUUUGGAGUGACAGUUGGUGGCUUAACUGCCAAAGUGCUUCGAAAAACUGACAGACUUGAGGGCUUCAGAGGGACACGGAAUUCCGGGUGGAGUGGUGAAAUGCGUAGAGAUCCGGAGGAACACCAAAGGCGAAGGCGGUGUCCUGGGGAGUACCUGACGCUCAGGUGCGAAAGCCAGGGGAGCGAACGGG
rnacentral:rRNA from 1 species